GACGAACGCUGGCGGCGUGCUUAACACAUGCAAGUCGAACGGAAAGGCCCUGCUUUUGUGGGGUGCUCGAGUGGCGAACGGGUGAGUAACACGUGAGUAACCUGCCCUUGACUUUGCGAUAACUUCAGGAAACUGGGGCUAAUACCGGAUAGGAGCUCCUGCUGCAUGGUGGGGGUUGGAAAGUUUCGGCGGUUGGGGAUGGACUCGCGGCUUAUCAGCUUGUUGGUGGGGUAGUGGCUUACCAAGGCUUUGCCGGGUAGCCGGCCUGAGAGGGUGACCGGCCACAUUGGGACUGAGAUACGGCCCAGACUCCUACGGGAGGCAGCAGUGGGGAAUAUUGCACAAUGGGCGGAAGCCUGAUGCAGCAACGCCGCGUGCGGGAUGACGGCCUUCGGGUUGUAAACCGCUUUCGCCUGUGACGAAGCGUGAGUGACGGUAAUGGGUAAAGAAGCACCGGCUAACUACGUG
rnacentral:rRNA from 1 species